UAUGGGAUAGCCACUAGAAAUGGUGGGUAAUACUGUAUAAUCCCUGCGGGGGAAAGAUUUAUCGCUAUUAGAUGAGCCUAUGUCAGAUUAGCUAGUUGGUGGGGUAAUGGCCUACCAAGGCGGUGAUCUGUAGCUGGUCUGAGAGGAUGAUCAGCCACACUGGAACUGAGACACGGUCCAGACUCCUACGGGAGGCAGCAGUGGGGAAUAUUGGACAAUGGGCGCAAGCCUGAUCCAGCUAUGCCGCGUGAGUGAGGAAGGCCUUAGGGUUGUAAAACUCUUUCAGUAGGGAAGAUAAUGACGGUACCUACAGAAGAAGUCCCGGCAAACUCCGUGCCAGCAGCCGCGGUAAUACGGAGGGGGCAAGCGUUGUUCGGAAUUAUUGGGCGUAAAGGGCAUGUAGGCGGUUUGGUAAGUUAAAGGUGAAAUACCAGGGCUUAACCCUGGGGCUGCUUUUAAUACUGCAGGACUAGAGUCCGGA
rnacentral:rRNA from 1 species